CGACAGCCCGUUUUAGAACGUAAUCGAUAUUAUAGUCAAACCUAGCAUUUUUAGACGUUUUGGAUGUGUUCUAGGUGUCAGAUUUGGCAUAGGUCCAUUGAUAGUAUUUAAUGUAUUUUGUACAAUCGAGUUAAAUUUUAGACUUCGCAUGUGUUAGAAGUACUUAUUUUUAUUUUGGGCCUAUAUUAUAAAAGUUAUGUUGGACCUGUAAAAUUAUUAACUGUAUAUAUAACUGGAUGGGAUGAGGGAGCUGAGCUCCCAUUGGACUUUUGACAUUAUGAGCAUGUAGAGGGUGAGCUGAGCUCCCCAAUUUAUUAUA